rnacentral:rRNA from 1 species
AUUGAACGCUGGCGGCAGGCCUAACACAUGCAAGUCGAGCGGAUGAAGGGAGCUUGCUCCUGGAUUCAGCGGCGGGCGGGUGAGUAAUGCCUAGGAAUCUGCCUGGUAGUGGGGGAUAACGUCCGGAAACGGGCGCUAAUACCGCAUACGUCCUGAGGGAGAAAGUGGAGGAUCUUUGGACCUCACGCUAUCAGAUGAGCCUAGGUCGGAUUAGCUAGUUGGUGGGGUAAAGGCCUACCAAGGCGACGAUCCGUAACUGGUCUGAGAGGAUGAUCAGUCACACUGGAACUGAGACACGGUCCAGACUCCUACGGGAGGCAGCAGUGGGGAAUAUUGGACAAAGGGCGAAAGCCUGAUCCAGCCAUGCCGCGUGUGUGAAGAAGGUCUUCGGAUUGUAAAGCACUUUAAGUUGGGAGGAAGGGCAGUAAGUUAAUACCUUGCUGUUUUGACGUUACCAACAGAAUAAGCACCGGCUAACUUCGUG